CCUACGGGAGGCAGCAGUGGGGAAUAUUGCACAAUGGGGGAAACCCUGAUGCAGCGACGCCGCGUGAGCGAUGAAGUAUUUCGGUAUGUAAAGCUCUAUCAGCAGGGAAGAAAAUGACGGUACCUGACUAAGAAGCACCGGCUAACUACGUGCCAGCAGCCGCGGUAAUACGUAGGGGGCAAGCGUUAUCCGGAUUUACUGGGUGUAAAGGGAGCGUAGGCGGGAAGCCAAGUCAGCUGUGAAAACUACGGGCUAAACUUGUAGACUGCAGUUGAAACUGGUUUUCUUGAGUGACGUAGAGGUUGGUGGAAUUCCGGGUGUAGCGGUGAAAUGCGUAGAUAUUCGGAGGAACACCAGUGGCGAAGGCGGGCAACUGUGAUUUAACUGACGCUGAGGCUCGAAAGUGUGGGGAGCAAACAGGAUUAGAUACCCCUGUAGUC
rnacentral:rRNA from 1 species